AGGAAUAUCACGGGAAAGAAUGAAGCUGUUAUCAAGUUAAUAUCUGCUAUUCUGGACUCAAGAAGGUCAAUCUGUAUCCCCCAUACGUGCCUCCUUUCCUAGCCUUCCCAAGAAGUCUUAAGAAAAACGGACAUCAACCAGGCUGAAACCUUGGCGUCAUACCUGGCACCUGCUGGAUGCUUAAUAAGUACUUGUGGACUGAGUGACUCUCAUGCCUUCCCUCUGCAGUGUAGACAAUAGUACCCAUGCUUGCUACAUCACGGAGGACUUGUUAAGCAUUAUUCAAUUAUGAAUCUUUAGUUAGUCUACAUGUCAUAGAUUCUAAUAUUGAUGUUUUCUACCCUUUAAUAUAAGUGAAUUUUAAUCCAUUUUAUAGUACAUCUUGAAAUUAUCUAUAUAAUUUUCUUAGUGGUACCUAAUGUAUCUUCCAAUCAAUAAUUUCCCUGAUUUAUUGAAAAAUGGUAUUAAAUAAAUGUAAUUAUAAAACC
rnacentral:antisense_RNA from 1 species